CGCGUAGGCGGUGGAACAAGUCACAUGUGAAAUACCAGGGCUCAACUCUGGGGGGUCAUGUGAAACUGUUUUACUUGAGUGCAGUAGAGGGAAGCGGAAUUCCUGGUGUAGCGGUAAAAUGCGUAGAGAUCAGGAGGAACACCGGUGGCGAAGGCGGCUUUCUGGGCUGUAACUGACGCUGAGGCGCGAAAGCGUGGGGAGCAAACAGGAUUAGAUACCUGGUAGUCCACGCGGUAAACGAUGAUUACUAGGUGUAGGGGACGCGAGGUCUUCUGUGCCGGAGCAAACGCAAUAAGUAAUCCGCCUGGGGAGUACGGCCGCAAGGUUGAA
rnacentral:rRNA from 1 species